CCAAAGUGCAUUCUAAAUUCUGCUGGCAACUUUCAAACAUUCCUGUGUGCUCCUGACUGAGAAAUAGUCCUACAUCAGCAGAAGGUAGAUGAGCUGAGCUCAGAACUCCAGGUACUGAGAGGUUAACCAUAUCUCCAGUUUCAAAGGGAACAUGUGACCUACACCUGACCAAUAGAGACAUCAUAUUACCA